rnacentral:rRNA from 1 species
ACGAACGCUGGCGGCGCGCCUCACACAUGCAAGUCGAGCGAGAACCAGGGCUUCGGCCCUGGGGAAAGCGGCGAACGGGUGCGUAACACGUGAGCAACCUGCCCCGAAGACCGGGACAAGCCGGGGAAACCUGGUCUAAUACCGGAUGUCCUCUCCCGAUCGCAUGGUCGGGUGAGGAAAUGGAUUCCGCUUCGGGAUGGGCUCGCGGUCUAUCAGCUUGUUGGUGGGGUAACGGCCUACCAAGGCGACGACGGAUAGCUGGUCUGAGAGGACGAUCAGCCACACUGGGACUGAGACACGGCCCAGACUCCUACGGGAGGCAGCAGUGGGGAAUCUUGCGCAAUGGGGGAAACCCUGACGCAGCGACGCCGCGUGCGGGAUGAAGGCCUUCGGGUUGUAAACCGCUUUCAGCAGGGACGAAAUUGACGGUACCUGCAGAAGAAGGCCCGGCCAACUACGU